rnacentral:rRNA from 1 species
UACGUAGGGGGGCAAGCGUUGUCCGGAUUUAUUGGGCGUAAAGAGCUCGUAGGUGGUUCGGUAAGUCACACGUGAAAUCCCUCGGCUCAACCUGGGAACUGCAUUUGUGACUGCAUGGCUAGAGUACGGUAGAGGGGGAUGGAAUUCCGCGUGUAGCAGUGAAAUGCGUAGAUAUGCGGAGGAACACCGAUGGCGAAGGCAAUCCCCUGGACCUGUACUGACGCCCCAUGCACGAAAGCGUGGGGAGCAAACAGG